rnacentral:rRNA from 1 species
GUGGGGAAUAUUGGGCAAUGGGGGCAACCCUGACCCAGCAACGCCGCGUGAGGGACGAAGGUCUUCGGAUCGUAAACCUCUGUCAGAAGGGAAGAAGUGUAUGGGUAGUAACUGACCUGUACUUGACGGUACCUUCAGAGGAAGCACCGGCUAACUCCGUGCCAGCAGCCGCGGUAAUACGGAGGGUGCGAGCGUUAAUCGGAAUUACUGGGCGUAAAGCGCGCGUAGGCGGCUUUGUAAGUCAGGGGUGAAAUCCCACGGCUCAACCGUGGCAUUGCCUUUGAUACUGCAGAGCUUGAGUUCGGGAGAGGGUGGUGGAAUUCCAGGUGUAGGAGUGAAAUCCGUAGAGAUCUGGAGGAACAUCAGUGGCGAAGGCGACCACCUGGCCCGAUACUGACGCUGAGGUGCGAAAGCGUGGGUAGCAAACAGGAUUAGAAACCCGGGUAGUCC